rnacentral:rRNA from 1 species
AGAGUUUGAUCCUGGCUCAGGAUGAACGCUGGCGGCGUGCUUAACACAUGCAAGUCGAACGAAGCACUUUACCUGAUUUCCUUCGGGGAUGAUUGUUCUGUGACUGAGUGGCGGACGGGUGAGUAACGCGUGGAUAACCUGCCUCACACAGGGGGAUAACAGCUGGAAACGACUGCUAAUACCGCAUAAGCGCACAGCACCGCAUGGUGCAGUGCGAAAAACUCCGGUGGUGUGAGAUGGAUCCGCGUCUGAUUAGCUAGUUGGCGGGGUAACGGCCCACCAAGGCGACGAUCAGUAGCCGGCCUGAGAGGGCGACCGGCCACAUUGGGACUGAGACACGGCCCAGACUCCUACGGGAGGCAGCAGUGGGGAAUAUUGCACAAUGGGGGAAACCCUGAUGCAGCGACGCCGCGUGAGCGAUGAAGUAUUUCGGUAUGUAAAGCUCUAUCAGCAGGGAAGAUAAUGACGGUACCUGACUAAGAAGCUCCGGCUAAAUACGUGCCAGCAGCCGCGGU